AGAGUUUGAUCCUGGCUCAGAUUGAACGCUGGCGGAAUGCUUUACACAUGCAAGUCGAGCGGCAGCGCGGGGCAACCUGGCGGCGAGCGGCGAACGGGUGAGUAAUGCAUCGGAACAUGUCCAUUUGUGGGGGAUAGCCCGGCGAAAGCCGGAUUAAUACCGCAUACGCCCGAGAGGGGAAAGCCGGGGACCGCAAGGCCUGGCGCGAAUGGGUUGGCCGAUGUCCGAUUAGCUAGUUGGCGGGGUAAAGGCCCACCAAGGCGAUGAUCGGUAGCUGGUCUGAGAGGAUGAUCAGCCACACUGGGACUGAGACACGGCCCAGACUCCUACGGGAGGCAGCAGUGGGGAAUUUUGGACAAUGGGGGCAACCCUGAUCCAGCCAUUCCGCGUGAGUGAAGAAGGCCUUCGGGUUGU
rnacentral:rRNA from 1 species